UACGGAAGCAGCAGUGGGGAAUAUUGCACAAUGGGCGAAAGCCUGAUGCAGCUAUGCCGCGUGUAUGAAGAAGGCCUUAGGGUUGUAAAGUACUUUCAUCGGGGAGGAAAAACAAAACUAAUAAUUUUAUUUCUUGACGUUACCCGAAAAAGAAGCACCGGCUAACUCCGUGCCAGCAGCCGCGGUAAUACGGAGGGUGCUAGCGUUAAUCAGAAUUACUGGGCGUAAAGAGCACGUAGGUGGUUUUUUUAAGUCAGAUGUGAAAUCCCUGGGCUUAACCUAGGAACUGCAUUUUGAAACUGAAAUACUAGAGUAUCGUAGAGGGAGGUAGAAUUCUAGGUGUAGCGGUGAAAUGCGUAGAUAUCUGGAGGAAUACCUGUGGCGAAAGCGGCCUCCUAAACGAAUACUGACACUGAGGUGCGAAAGCGUGGGGAGCAAACAGGGAUUAGAUA
rnacentral:rRNA from 1 species